AAAUUGAAGAGUUUGAUCAUGGCUCAGAUUGAACGCUGGCGGCAGGCCUAACACAUGCAAGUCGAACGGUAACAGGAAGCAGCUUGCUGCUUUGCUGACGAGUGGCGGACGGGUGAGUAAUGUCUGGGAAACUGCCUGAUGGAGGGGGAUAACUACUGGAAACGGUAGCUAAUACCGCAUAACGUCGCAAGACCAAAGAGGGGGACCUUCGGGCCUCUUGCCAUCGGAUGUGCCCAGAUGGGAUUAGCUAGUAGGUGGGGUAACGGCUCACCUAGGCGACGAUCCCUAGCUGGUCUGAGAGGAUGACCAGCCACACUGGAACUGAGACACGGUCCAGACUCCUACGGGAGGCAGCAGUGGGGAAUAUUGCACAAUGGGCGCAAGCCUGAUGCAGCCAUGCCGCGUGUAUGAAGAAGGCCUUCGGGUUGUAAAGUACUUUCAGCGGGGAGGAAGGGAGUAAAGUUAAUACCUUUGCUCAUUGACGUUACCCGCAGAAGAAGCACCGGCUAACUCCGUGCCAGCAGCCGCGGUAAUACGGAGGGUGCAAGCGUUAAUCGGAAUUACUGGGCGUAAAGCGCACGCAGGCGGUUUGUUAAGUCAGAUGUGAAAUCCCCGGGCUCAACCUGGGAACUGCAUCUGAUACUGGCAAGCAGUCUCGUAGAGGGGUAGAAUUCCAGGUGUAGCGGUGAAAUGCGUAGAGAUCUGGAGGAAUACCGGUGGCGAAGGCGGCCCCCUGGACGAAGACUGACGCUCAGGUGCGAAAGCGUGGGGAGCAAACAGGAUUAGAUACCCUGGUAGUCCACGCCGUAAACGAUGUCGACUUGGAGGUUGUGCCCUUGAGGCGUGGCUUCGGAGCUAACGCGUUAAGUCGACCGCACGGGAGUACGGCCGCAAGGUUAAAACUCAAAUGAAUUGACGGGGCCCGCACAAGCGGUGGAGCAUGUGGUUUAAUUCGAUGCAACGCGAAGAACCUUACCUGGUCUUGACAUCCACGGAAGUUUUCAGAGAUGAGAAUGUGCCUUCGGGAACCGUGAGACAGGUGCUGCAUGGCUGUCGUCAGCUCGUGUUGUGAAAUGUUGGGUUAAGUCCCGCAACGAGCGCAACCCUUAUCCUUUGUUGCCAGCGGUCCGGCCGGGAACUCAAGGAGACUGCCAGUGAUAAACUGGAGGAAGGUGGGGAUGACGUCAAGUCAUCAUGGCCCUUGACCGGGCUACACGUGCUACAAUGGCGCAUACAAGAGAAGCGACCUCGCGAGAGCAAGCGGACCUCAUAAAGUGCGUCGUAGUCCGGAUUGGAGUCUGCAACUCGACUCCAUGAAGUCGGAAUCGCUAGUAAUCGUGGAUCAGAAUGCCACGGUGAAUACGUUCCCGGGCCUUGUACACACCGCCCGUCACACCAUGGGAGUGGGUUGCAAAGAAGUAGCAACCUUCGGGAGGGCGCUUACCACUUUGUGAUUCAUGACUGGGGUGAAGUCGUAACAAGGUAACCGUAGGGGAACCUGCGGUUGGAUCACCUCCUUACCUUAAAGAAGC
rnacentral:rRNA from 1 species